rnacentral:rRNA from 1 species
AGGACGAACGCUGGCGGCGUGCUUAACACAUGCAAGUCGAGCGGAAAGGCCUUUCGGGGUACUCGAGCGGCGAACGGGUGAGUAACACGUGAGUAACCUGCCCUUCACUUUGGGAUAACCCUCGGAAACGGGGGCUAAUACCGGAUAUGACCUGGCCCGGCAUCGGGUUGGGUGGAAAGUUUUUCGGUGGGGGAUGGGCUCGCGGCCUAUCAGCUUGUUGGUGGGGUAAUGGCCUACCAAGGCGACGACGGGUAG